AGCUGACGACAGCUGGGCUUCCUCCGAGGGCAUUUAAUUGCAGGCGCAGCUGGGGAAAGCUGAGGAGCUCUUCUUCCCGCCUUUUUUUCUUUCCUCCCCCCUCCCCCGCCCGUCGCGCUCCUUCCCCUCAGCUCACCAGGGGCGGCCACCUUAGGAGAAGCGAAAAGUCCCCUCAGGAGGCUUGCCUCUCCCUUGAGUGGGGCGUGUGGGGAGAGAGAGGCAGCACAUUUUUGGGGCAGAGAUGUCAGGGGUCGUGGUAAAUGGAACUCAAGUAAGUGCCUCCCCACUCACCCACCUAACCCUAUUUGUUUGACAGAAACGGUUGGUUGGGGGGGUCGCGUCUUUCGUUGAAGCGUCUCUCAGUUUCGCUUUCUUAUCCCGCCCCCUUCCUUUCUCAGCCUCUGCUUGGAGUCCUUUAAAACUUCUCUCUCGUGCUUCCUAUUACCCAAAACGCCUGACUUCUCCCCCCCGCCCACGCCACGAGGAGGGGAUGAAGAAGGGGAAGAAUUUCCCCUCCCUUUUUUCCUCAUGGCGUCAGGCCCCCUUGUCCCAAGUCAUGGGUUCAAGCUGGGUAUGGAAAAGCUCUCUCAAAUGACUAUUAUUAUUAUUAUUAUUAUUACAUCCUAUUGGGGAGCAGUUCCUGCUCAUUACAGCUGUUUUGAACUUUCAGGAUGAGACAUAGACAUGACUGGUGGGUGAAGACUUGCUUUCCUCUUCUCUUCUCCUGCCCCCCUCAGCAAUAUAUCACAGCUUCUAUAGCCUACAUAUAGUAGUGGUAUUUAAAAUGAGAGUUAUCACAGUGUCCCCUUUUUUGCUCUUCAAAAUAUGGCAAACCUAAAUGAUAAUAAUAAAAAAUUUCAUUGCUAGAAAAGGUGCCCAGACAUUCUGUUGUGGUGACCAUAAUCUCCAUUUAAGGUGCCAUUUGGCAAGUAGCUUAUCUAUGUGAGUUUCUUACACUGCAAGUAAGUGUGCACAGGAUUAUGGCAUAGCUUUCCAAACUGUGUGUCGGGACACGUUAGUGUGUCAGCUGCAGUGUGUAGGUGUGUUGUACAAACGCUCCCCAUGCUCCUCCCAGGGCUGGAAAGGGGUUAGUUUAACCUCCGGUUUGCUAGUAAAACUGAAUUACUGUGUCAUGAAAUGAUGCAAAACUGAAUUACUGCAUUGCGAAAUGAUGCAUGUCUAAAAAGUGUGUCACCAACAUGGAAAGUUUGGAAAGCUCUGGAGUACAGGCUUGGUACACUCUCCUUUGAGGCUAUUUGUCAGACUGAGUGUGAAGCAGGGCUCCUGUGCCUAAUGCAUUCAAGGGAUUUAGAUACAACUUCUCCCAUCAAGGUACUGCAGUUAUAAGAAGCCUUACCUACCAAAACUCUCCCUUUCCAAUGCAUGUAUUAAACUGUCUUAAUACAGCUUAGAAGCUCUACAUGGCCAUGGGGUUCUGGAGCCUCAGACCUCUUUAGUGUGCCUGAACAUCUGUACGUUUCCUGAGUACCGUACAAGGCCAUGGGCAUAUGGGAGAAUCUCUUAUGUCUGUAGCCUCAUGUAUUCUCUAUGAACUUAUUAAAAAAACAAACAGCCCCCCAAUAGUCUUAGAAGGUGAUAGAUUGCAACUUUGCGUGGAGUCUCUUCUCCCUUUCCUUGGAGGUAACAGACAUAAGCAAUAUUUGUGUGCAUGGGUUCCCAGACAUCACCUCUUUGGAACAGGGCUGUGCCCUCAAGCUCUUACUGUAGGGGUAAUGUCCUCUAACUGUUGCUUUAAACUUCACUGUGGAUGCAGAGUAUAUAUUCUGCUUACUAGCAGAGGGUUUAAGUUUCUCUGACCCACAGAUAAACUGAUCAAAACCAAGCAUGCUUUUAAGGUCCUCCCCCCAUUGCUGCUAAAGGGGCUGUGCAUGUCUUAUAUGGAUAAGGAGCACAUGUAGAGUUUUGUACACAUUGCUUGGUAUGCAACAACCCUGUAAUACAGGCCAGCUAUUUUAUCUUGACUGUUGCAGGUGGGAAAAGGCUGAGGAAGAGUGGCUUGCCUAAGGGCCACUUACUGAGUUCACAACAGUUGUAAGAUUUGGACCAAGGGGGCUUCCAGCAAGCCCAUUGAGAAUGGCUUGCUUUCUUAACACGUUUUGUAAAACGCACUUUUGCCCAGGUGUUAAUACUAAUUAGUAUUCCUGCCAUUAUGCUGCAGCUGCUACCAACGUCCUCAUUCCAACAUGCUGCACUUUAAAGCCAUGUGUCUGUGGGGAGGGUUCGACACAUGUUUCAGAUCAGUUGUGGGUGCUGACAUAGUUACACUGAAGUUUUGCUUGCAAAACAGAAAAUAAUAAAAUUGCACAUAGCUGUCAUGAAAUUAAAUAUGGUGUUUGUGUGUUCUUUUUAUUUUGAAAUAGGGGAUUUACUGCCCAUGCCUCAACUUCCAUUUUCAGCAUAGAAGUAACCAUUUUCAGGUGUGUGUGUGUGUGUGUUUGUUCUUUGUUUCUGCAAGAUAGAAACAUACGUAAACAGUACGCAAAGAUACCUACAAACUUUGUAUCAAUUUUCUUUCUUUUUUUGAAAAACAUUUUGCACGGAUUACAAAAACGUCUGAGGGUAGACAGUAGACUUUUCACUGAGAUAGCAACUAAUGAAUUACAACCAUAAAAGAGCUCUGCUGUACCAGACGAAAGAACUUUACUGCCUCUGAACAUGGAUGUUCUAUUUUUGCUAAUAGCUAUUGAAAAACCUAUGUUCUCCACAAGGUUUGUCUAACACCCUAUGCUAAUGAUCACCACUGUCUCUUUUGAUAAUGAUCUGUUGUGUAGAAAAGUCCAUUUUCUUGUCCUAAAUAAGUUGUGCUGUUGAGCAAUCCUGUCUGAUCCUUCUUUCUUGAUAGGCUUGAUGGUCUUCACUAUACAGUCGUACGUCUGCUCCCAAACACCUUGGGAGUUGAAAGUUUCGGCUCCCGAACUAUUGAAAACUGGAAGUGAGUGUUCCGGUCCUUGAACAUUCUUUCGGAAGCCGAACAUCCAACAGGGCUUCCAUGGCUUCCGAUUGGCUGUAGGAACUUCCUGCAGCCAAUCAGAAGCUGCGCUUUGGAAGUUGAAAGGACUUCCGGAACGGAUUCUGUUCAACCUCCGAGGUAUGACUGUAUACAUGCUAAACAUUUUUUCAUGAUUAUGGAUAAGAUUCAUUUUAGAGCACUAAAUCUGGAGCUGUCUCUUGCUUGCCACAACAUUUAAAAGGUGUGGUCCCUAAAAAAUGAAGAAUCGGUUACCAUAGUUUGACUAUAUACAUAUUUGGAAGUAAGUCCGAACACAUUCCAUGGGAUUUUUAUCCUGGUAAGUGUAUUUUUGGAUUACAGUCUAAAAGCCAGAGCCCAUGUGAAUUUAUUCAGAAGUAAAGCAGUGCUUGAAAUUCACAAUUUUUGUUUUGCAAUUGGGGUGGGUUCAAUUGCCACCAUGUGGAGAUCUCUGGAUGCCAGGCUGGUGACUGACAUCUCCAUCUGGCUGGCCUCUCCAACUUUCCUAAGAUGGUGAGCACAGAAGAGCUUAUUUAUUGCACUUAUAUCCUGCCUUUUUCUCCAAGAAGUACAUGGUUCACACCCCUCCUCAGUUAAUCCCUACAGUGACCUUGUAAAGUAGGUUAAGAGGCUGUGACUGGCCCAAGGUCACCCAAUGAGCUUCAUGAGUGAGUGGGGAUUAGAACCCUGAUCUCCUAGGUCCUAGUCCAGGGGUCAGCAACCUUUUUCAGCCAUGGGCCGGUCCACUGUCCCUCAGACCUUGUGGGGGGCCAGACUAUAUUUUGGAAAAAAUAAUAAUGAAUGAAUUCCUAUGCCCCACAAAUAACCCAGAGAUGCAUUUUAUAUAAUAGGACACAUUCUACUCAUGUAAAAACACCCUGAUUCCCAGACUGUCCGCAUUUUGAGAAGGCGAUUGGGCCGCAUCCGGCCCCCGGGCCUUACGUUGCCUACCCCUGUCCUAGUCCAAUACACUAACCACUACACCACACUGACCUCUUAGAGUACUUCUGCUAUGGGACAGUUAUCUACAGUAAAUUAAGUAGGCAAAUAAAUAAAUAAAUAUGGGCUUGAAUAUGAAUUGAAUUGGUUUUUAUUCUGGAUUGUUUUUAUUCUGGAUUGUUUUAUUUGAUGUUUUAAUGUGUUGUAAACCACUUUUUUCUUUAAAAUAUAAAGUGGUAAAGAAAUGAAAGGAAUGAUAACAAUGAUAGGGUUGGCGUAUGUCCUCUUUUUCCAGGACAUGCCCUCCUUUUCAGGGGUAAAAUUUCUUUCUGGGUGGAUUUUUAAAAUUUGCCAAAAUGUCUCUGGCUAUACUUUCUGGAUGAGACGUAGGCAUGACUGGUGGGUGAAGACUUGCUUUCCUCUUCUCUUCUCCUGCCCCCCUCAGCAGUAGAUCACAGCUUCUAUAGCCUACAUAUAGUAGUGGUAUUUAAAACGAGAGUCAUCACAGUGUCCUCUUUUUAUGUUCUUCAAAAUAUGGCAACCCUAAACAAUAAUAAAUUUCAUUGCAAAAAAAGGUGCUUAGACAUUCUGUUGUGGUGACUGUAAUCUCCGUUUAAGGUGCCAUUUGGCAAUUAGCUUAUAUAUCUGAGUUUCUUAUACUGCAAGUAAGUGUGCACAGGAUUACGGCAGAGCUUUCCAAACUGUGUGUUGGGACAUGUUAGUGCAGGGGUCAGCAACUUAAGGUCCGUGGGCCGGAGGUGGCACGCGGAGGUUGUUUGACUGGCUCACGAGUCACCCCUGAACUGAGAUGCCCACUCGUGCGCUGCGCUAAACCGGCGAAGCACAGUGCGGGGACUUGCUUUCACUGCGCCGAAAAUCGUGUCUGCGCAUGCACAGACACUGAAAAUCGUGUCUGCGCAGACGCUGAAAAUCAUGUGUGCGCACUCAUGGACACCCGCAAUCCAGCCCACAGAGGUAUCUCCACGGGACCGAUCCAGCCCACACAAGAUAAACCUUGCUGACCACUGCGUUAGUGUGUCAGCUGUUUAGGUGUGUCAUGCAAAAGCUCCUCCCAGGGCUGGAAAGGGGUUAGUUUAACCUCUGGUUUGCUAGUAAAACUGAAUUACUGUGUCAUGAAAUGAUGCAUGUCUAAAAAGUGUGUCACCAACAUGAAAAGUUUGGAAAGCUCUGGAGUACAGGCUUGGUAUACUCUCCCAUGAGGCCGUUUGUCAGACUGAGUGUGAAGCAGGGCUCCUGUGCCUAAUGCAUUAAAGGGAUUUAGAUGCAACUUCUCCCAUCAAGGUACUGCAGUUUUAAGAAGCUUUACCUGCCAAAAUUCUCCCUUUCUAAUGCAUGUAUUAAACUGUCUUAAUACAGCUUAGAAGCUCUACAUGGCCAUGGGGUUCUGGAGCCUCAGACCUCUUUAGUGUGCCUGAGCCUCUGUAAGUUUCCUGAGUACUGUACAAGGCCAUGGGCAUAUGGGAGAAUCUCUUAUGUUUGUAGCCUCAUGUAUUCUCUAUGAACUUAUUAAAUAAACAAAGAGCCCCUCCCCCAUAGUCUUAGAAGGUGAUAGAUUGCAACUUUGAGUGAAGUCUCUUCUCCCUUUCCUUGGAGGUAACAGACAUAAGCAAUAUUUAUGUGCAUGGGUCCCAGACAUCACCUGAAGAUGUUAAGUGCACAUAACAUGAAUUCCUGCCUGCCUGCCUAAAAGGGUGCACUGCUUCUUUCCAGAAAACCAGAAGGACUUGUGGUCCCACAAGCUUCAUGUUCAGAGAGAUGUCAAGGUUGUUUUGCGCUGUUGUUUUGAUAUGACUUUUCAGUGGGAAUCAAAAUACAUUUUAGUGCUGGGAGUAGCACCCUCUAUUACUUCUUCAUGAAGCUCAUAGUUACACUAUGAAACUCUGUCUCACUGGUGGCAGUGAUGGCUUUAAAAGAGGAUUAGACAAAUCCAUGGAGGAGAGGGCUAUCUAUGGCUACUAGCCAUGAGGACUAUGCUCUGCCUAGUUGGAGGAAGUCAUGCUUCCAAAUAGCAGUUGAUGGAGGAGGAGAGUGCUGCUCUGCUGCAGGAAGGGAGACAGCUGUUGUGCUUGGGUCCUGCUUGUGGAUUUCCCACAGACAUCUGGUUGGCCACUGUAAGAACAGAAUGCUGGGCUUACCCCAGCACAAAUUAUGUAAGCCACUCUCCAUAUCACAGUUGCAUAAUGUAGCUGGUGAAAUGGUGCAGAGUUUUUCUUAGACUUUGGUGAAAACUCCCCAAAUUCCGGUCAAACCAUACUUAUGUGAGAUGUACAUCAUUGUGGGCAAACUUAAAGUGUGGGGUUAAUCUACUGCAGCUUUCCCUGGCGUCCUCCAGCUGUUAUUGAACUACAACUCCUAUAAAUCUGGCCCAUUGGCCAUGUUGGCUGGAGCUAAUGGGAUUUGGAGUCCAGCAGUUGAGAGGGUACCUGGUGGGCGAAGGCUUCUUUACUACAUUGGGUGACUGCCGUCUUCAGAUUCUGACUUCAUUAUUUAUAUAUAGGCAAGGAGCAAACUUCUAAAUCCUUGAACUGUUUUGCUCUGAAGCAGCCUUGGGUGCUAUUUUCUUAACAGAUGUCAAUAGUCCUACUUGUAGAUUUGUGAUAAUGAUACUGAUACUGAUAAAGCUGCAGCUUACUCAUCUGCAUAACUAAACACUCCAGGGCUUUAAAAGUCUGCUCCUCUAUCAUAUAAUUGCACACCACUAAGGUCCUGCCUAUUUUCUUUUGAGUCCAAAUUCCUACUGACAAUAAACUUCUAGCGUACUUCCCCUACCUCACACUUUGGCCAUAGUGAAGUUGGACACACUUUCUGACUGCAGGGGAACUUGGUAUUUUUAAGAACCCAUUAACCCUUUGUGCAUCUUACAAGGUUAGAAUACAUGCUGAUCUUCAGCCUAUCCCUGCACAAAGUGCCUGUUUGGUGGGGACAGAUUGUCUCAGUCUACUUGGUGCCCACUGAACCUUGUAAAUUGGUUGGCUGGACGUGCUCUCCAAUCAUUCCAUGCAAUUUCUGAGACUUCUUUGUGUGGCAGCUUUCCCAUAUUCUAAUAUCCACAUGGUUGAAAGCAAAACCAUAUGGAUAUUGUAAGAAUAAAUCUGUGAGUAAACCUGCCACACAGCUGUGCUAUGUAAGUCAAGGCAACUUCUGAAGAGAGGAACAGCAGUUGUGUGGAGAAGCUGCUGGAACUAAACUGGGUUAAUUUAAAGGAAUUGUCAGAUAAACUUCACCCCAGAGUUUCAGGCUGUUAUAAGUCUCUGCUAAUCUUUCUUCUUGUGCUUUCUUUCUUGGUCUGAUUUUUGGCUUUAUAAAAGUACUUAGAUCACAAACCUAAGUGCUUUCUCAUGGAGGACAAAUUCUACUAAAACUAGUGAGUCCUUCUAGGACAUGUAAGUAAACAUGAUCAGGGUGGGAAUGCAAACAUAUCUACAUUCCACGAGUAUCAGUGGAAUGUAAGUACUUGUGUGUGCAGUGAAUUUUCCCUAAUGCUAGAGUACAGGGUCCCAUUUGUACACACUACUUCUGUUGCUGUACUUCUAUAUGAUGCUAGCAUUUCCCCUUUGUGUUGCUACAUAUAUGGAAGCCCUACUUGGACUCAUGGGGCAAUUUCACUGAUUUGUAGCAUGCAUGUUAUGAACUGGAGUUCUUAAGUAUAUUCUUAAGUAUAUUCAGAAUUGCUUCACCCAAUAACACCAGAUUUUCAAACAGAUUAUUUUAAGAGCUAUAUGAAAUGGUGGCUUUUGUUAUGUGGCGGUGCUGUCUUUAGGCAUGGCAGUGCCCAGCUAACUUUGUCAUUGCUUUAAGAUCUGUACCUUCCUCGCAACCAUUGUCCUUUACUUUGUCCCCUGAGUCGUCGUUAUCAUCUUCUUUAGUGAUCACUCAUAGCUGAGUAAGAUUGUCUUCCAUGAACAUGGUCUUAACAGUGAGUCUAUAAGUGACUGUGGAGGCCAAUUCCUCUAGACGUCCUUCCACAGUGGGGACAUAGGUUUCUGGGUGGGAGUUGAUUGUGAUGAGGGUUUGCCAAACAUGCCUUCCUCUUAACACAUUUCUCCCUUUUAUCCUGAAUUCGAGCAUCUUCAAAGUGCAUGACACCUUCGGUAAAGGCUGUUCUCCAACUGGAGCGCUCGCAGGCCAGUGUUUCCCAGUUGUCAAUGUUUAUACUACAUGUUUUUAGAUUUGCCUUGAGAGAGUCUUUAAACCUCUUUUGUUGACCACCAGCAUUACACUUUCCAUUUUUAAGUUCAGAAUAGAGUAGUUGCUUUGGCAGGCAAUAAUCAGGCAUCCGAACAACAUGACCAGUCCAACGAAGUUGACGUUGAGUAAUCAUUGCUUUGACACUGGUGAUCUUUGCUUCUUCCAAUACACUGGCAUUAGUUUGCUUGUCUUCCCAAGUGAUGUGUAUUGUUUUUCGGAGACACCGUUGAUGGAAUCUUUUGAGGAGUUGGAGAUGGCGCUUAUAAGUGUAAACAUAAGAGUAGCAUCCUGUCAACCAAGGAUGAACCAAAUGCUUAAAGAUCAUGGACAUAAAAAAUAAACAAAUCCCCAGUACCAGAAAUAUCAUCAUUAGUGUGUAAGUUCUGACAUCCUUGGUGGGCCAUUGAGAUUAAAACAUCUGUUUAUAAACUCUCAUUGGACUGGAGUUAGUCCAACAAAACAGUUUGGUCAAAGAAAUAAAUUUGUGUUUUUUAUGCCAUGUGGAGCCUUCACUCUUCAAAUAGGACCUCACCAGGCCAAUUUCAGUUGUGCAAACAGAAUGAUGUGGCAGCCGCUAUUAACUAGCUAUUGUCUUUAUCUGGAUUUACUAACUUGAGCUCACUGGAGCAGACAAUAGAAUAGUUGCUUGAAUCGGGAGCUUCCCUGUGCAAUCCUCUGCAGGUCUGCUCAGAAGUCCUAGAAAAUUCAACUUCCAGGCCAACAUUUAUAGGAUUGCAGUCUCGGUUGUGCUUUUACAGGGCCUGAAUCCACACUAGAAAUAAACAUUUCUUUUGACUUUGAAUUGGGUUUGGGGGGCUGGCUGUACUUUUUUGCAUUUUCCCCUGGUUUAUAUAUUAGGUGACCCCGUGUAUUUUUGAAACAGCUGGUUUUGCAGAAAGUUUGUUUACUCCAGUGCUUUUGAAUAUAUAAUUGUGGUAGUUGUGGUUGGAUGUGGCAAGGAGUGCAAGUUUGUUCCUUGGAGGCUUUAUGCAUCCCUUUUGAAGUACAAAGUACUCUGAAAUGGAUAUGUAUUUAGUGGUGGGAAAUUGUAAUAGCACUUUUAUGGUACUCUAGAGUGUUCAAACAAUGAAUUAUCACAGUUUUUUUAUUAUGACUCUUUAACUUUAUGCUUCAUAACUAGUUUCUUGAUUAUAACAAAUGUAAAAUGAGCGCCUAAUCUCACCUUUUAAUACUAUAUUUUGUCAGUAGUACAAUCCUACUAACUGAAUUGGCCCCAUAAGGUCUUGGGACUACUUUCUGUUGGACUUCAUUUGCAUGGUGGCAGCUCAAUCAUGAAAUGUCUUCCUGGCCAAGAAGAGCAGUAGUUGUUGUUAGAAAAUAAUGAGUUUACCUAGCACUGCUCUGUUCCAAACAGCCAUUUCAUCUGCUUGUAUCAACCAAAGAGUCUUGUGUAUGUAUGAUGGCAAGUAGAAUCAUUCUCCCUGCCCGAACUUCUAAGGAAGAUGAUUAAGGUUGCAAUCCCACUUACCAAGGAGUAAGUCCCAUGAACUCAGUGUGAUGUUACCUCUGAGUAAACAUGUAUAAGGGUGUGUUGCCAAUGACCACUAAAUAUAGGACUGGAUGCUGUUUAACAGAGGUGUCACCAUCUGUUGAGUAAUGAGGUGUAAUGGUGUCCUUUUUAUUUAAAAGUGAACUGAUUUCCCCCCCUCCUGUGCAUCCUACCCCAGUUAACUUUGGUCCAGUGCCAUAUCUAAUGUAAGCAGUGCCUAUAAUUCCAUCAUUAAUUUAUCCUUCUGAGUUAAUGAUUCCCAGCUGGCAAUCAUAUAUUGCCUUAAUUAAAUCAAGCACCUUUUUGCAUUUCCUGAGAGGGCAAAGCUGGACUCUUUUUUCCCCAGAGAAGGUGAGAGCACCUUGCUAAAAACGGAAUGUAUUUUUAUUUUAUUUUUACGUAUUUAUGAACACUUUAAUAAAAAUAUGUAAGUUUUAAUGAAAAUAUAAGAAUAAAAUUAGCAAAAAGUAUCCAUAAAAACAUCAAAAAUAGAGAUGCUCUUUUGAUUCGACUAAUCUCUGAGAUAACGCUUAAGUGGUACAGCUCAGACUGUCCCAGGAAGCUUCUCCACCUGUAACUCCUGUUAUGUAAUGGCUGUCAUGUCAUAGCCAAUGCAAUCCUAUCUAUGUGCACACAGUUGUCUCCAGUAAAGAUUCAAAGCAGUAUACAGUGGUACUUUGGGUUACAUACGCUUCAGGUUACAGACUCCGCUAAUCCAGAAAUAGUACCUCGGGUUAAGAACUUUGCUUCAGGAUGAGAACAGAAAUUGCGUGGCGAUGGUGCAGCAGCAGCAGGAGGCCCCAUUAGUGAAAGUGGUGCUUCAGGUUAAGAACAGUUUCAGGUUAAGAACGGACCUCCGGAACGAAUAAAGUACGCAACCAGAGGUACCACUGUACAGUAUUGCUAAUUUCCCAGAUUAUUGCUUUCAGUGAUUAUGUGUAUAAGAUAUGCAUAUGUGUGCACAGACAUACUAGCAUAUCCGUUAACAAUAAGAUAUUCAAGGUUCAGCUUUGGGAUUGGUUAUGAAAAGCAUGUUAUUUCAUUCAGUUGUACCCUUUCUAUGUAAGUUCUUGCCCAGGAAAUACAAUGUGGAAAACAAACAAACCCCUUACUCAACCAUAACUUAAUUGGGAGGUCCUCUUUGACACAAGCAUAGGGGAGUUAACAUCUGGCUCUUUGAGAUUGUUCUAUGUCAAGCAACUGGAAAUCUGAAAACUGACACUGGAAAAGAGGGAGUUUAUGUGCAGCAUUUUCUCCUGAUGAUAAAAAUAUGCUGCUGUCUUUUCCAGCCCCGAAGUGGUUACAUUUUUGUGUGUAUUAAUCUAAAUGCUUCUGCAUGCACAUGUGUCUUGUAAAUAGCUUUGGGAUCCUUUAGGGUGAAUGGCAGCAGACAAUUGGAAAAUGUUUACUGAUUCUGGAGUGGGAUUCCAAAUAAUUAGAUUGAAAUCUCUCUUCCUUUUGCUUUCUGGAGACUGUUAAAAGCGAGCCUUUGUCCUGAAGUAGAAUUUAUUGCAAAGGAAGGGAUGACAGAUGCCUUGAGAAGGGAGAGGAAAUUGCAAGAAUGAACUCUGAGCUUUUUAUUUUUUCAGCUCAUGUAUUCACAGUAAAACUAUUUUCUCUGUAGUUGACUAUCUCUUUCUCAGAUGAAGUUACUGAGCAAGGAUGAAUUAAAGGGGAUGAAGUGCUACAUUAUCAGACUGCAAUCAUUUUAAGACCAGCUGAACCACAAGGGUGAUUUGUAAAGUUAGGGGAUGCGGUGGCAAGUUGUCAUGUAGAGUAGGUUGUAUUUUGAAGAACAUGAAAUAUCAUCCAAACACAACUUGCCUGACUCUUAUUUUCUUGUUCUUAUCUGGAAUUUGAAGAAAUGGAAACUUAAAAGACAAAUGGGAACUCCCUAAGACCAAGUUCUUUAAAGAGUGCACUCUGAAUCAAGCAUAGACAUUGCUUUGCUGCUUAAAUUCUUCUGGACUAAAUAGGGAGUUAUCGCAAAUUAAACUUGCAAAUACAUCAAUUUUCAAAAAGCACUCGGUCAGCUUUUUCUGAAACUUUAUGUAAGUGGUUUGCUAUAGAGGGAUGAGCUCAUAUGGAUUCAUUGGAGCUUCUGAUUAAGCGCUAAAACUUCAACUGUUUUAUGUGUGGCAAGAUAAAAUUUCAGUGUGUCUUGUGCAACACUAUUCAUUGUUUAAUAACUGCUGUAUGUGAGAGCUUAAGAUUGGACUUCCUUUAAUCUUGUAAGUUAUUAUGUAUGGCAAUAAUGUAUUAUCUUUAUUAAGAGUCUGGCAUCUUGUUGUAAACAUCUGUGCGAAAUCUAUGGGAAAUCAGCAUUCCUUUAAAUUUUGAUGUUGAUGUAUAUUCACAAUGUACUGUUCUAUUUUAUUUUUUAUUAGUAAGAGAUGUACUUUUUUGUUCUGUUUUCUUUUUUUUCCUAUUCCUUUUCCUAAGUUUUCUUUGUGUGUCUAUGUUGAUUUUUAAACCAAUAAAGAUUGAAUUAAAAAAAAUUUUUUUUGGAUGUUGUUAACUAAGAAUCUUGCUUUAAUAGGCAUUGAUUGCUAGGAGGAGCUUGUUUUAAUGUGCAUUGGUGGCGGGGGGCUGCUGGAAAUGUAACACCUGCUUAGGGUUGAAGUUAAAGAGAAGCAAUUUGGUAGUUGGAAUGUAGCCGUUGAAAGUGACAGAAGCCUGAAUUUUGCACCUGAUGAUUUGCGAAAGGAGCAGGGUGGGAGGCUGUAAAUACACGAAGGUUGGUUUCGGAGAACAGAUACUUAUUUGAAACAUUUACAGCGUGCCUGCCUGCUUUCCCAUACUCACUUUGUAUAUUUAAAAACAAUGUAGAUGAAAACAAAAGUAGAUGAACAGAAAAAUGCUCCACUUACUACUCUUUGCUUACAAGAAACAAAAUCUUUAAAAGAUGGCUUCUGGAACUUCCUUCCACACUGGGAGGUACGAAACACUAUAGUAGUUUCUUUUCAACUGUCUUACAUAGUUGUGAUUCGUAUUUAUUACUAUUAUUACUAUUUAUUAAAUUUCUAGACCACCCUUCACCUGAGGAUCACAGGGCGGUUUGCAAUAUAAAAGCACAAAAAUAUACAACACAGUAAGAAACAAAAGCAAUACCUCCCACUGUUUAAAAGGCCAUAUAUUGUUUAACCAGCCAAAGGCCUGGAAGAAGAGAAGAAGAAGAAGAAGAGUUUGGAUUUGAUAUCCCGCCUUUCACUCCCUUUAAGGAGUCUCAAAGCGGCUAACAUUCUCCUUUCCCUUCCUCCCCCGCAACAAACACUCUGUGAGGUGAGUGGGGCUGAGAGACUUCAAAGAAGUGUGACUGGCCCAAGGUCACCCAGCAGCUGCAUGUGGAGGAGCGGAUACUCAAACCCGGUUCCCCAGAUUACAAGACUACCGCUCUUAACCACUACACCACACCACAGAGGAGUGGUUUUGCCUGGUGCCUAAAGAUGUGCAACAAAGUGCCAGGUGAGCCCCCUAGGGAGAGCAUUCCCCAAGUAGGGAGCCACUGCAGAAAAGGCCCAUUCUUGUUUUGCCACACUCCAGAUGUCUCGUCCAGUUAGGUUCAUGUUUAACUGAUAGGGUAUUAUGGUAUGAGCUGUCCUGAAGAUUGCUGCCUGAUUUCUCCCCUCUGUUUGAGAACCCAUUAGGUUGUAUCCAGUGAUAGACAGACUCAGAGUAAACACAUUGAAAUUGAUGGACAUGGCUUGCUUAGGUACAUUAAUUUCAGUGAAUCUACUUUGAGUAGAAUUUAUUUGGCUACAACCCAUUGUCGUGGUCCAGCUGCAGAUAUGACAGUGUACUAAUGCAGAGUUGUUACUGGUAGGUUGGGUGUGGAAUGAGUACACAUUUUUGUUUCCAGGUGAGAGCCUUGCUUUACUGUUUCUACAUUUUACAUUUGUACAGUAGGUUUGCAGACACAAAGAUAACAGCUGGUAGACAAACAUAACUUGGGCUGGAUUGGAUGAUACAGACCGAUCACUCUCCUAUGUGUAAUGGCAAGGGGUGAGAGAGCACCUUAUCUUGCUGCUCAUGCAUAUACCUCAGAUACCAUUGUUUAUCCAUGUUUUAAUAAAAUAUUCACUUAUGGUCUACAUGUGCAAAAUUCGAAGCAUACAAAUUCACUUUACACAGUUGAUUCUCAUAUAAAAUUGUGUAGUGUCUUCUGAGCUUACACUCACUGGAUUUUCUGCAUGCAGGCCCCAUUGAAACAUUUUUCCAUUGCUUGGAUAACCAUUGGUGUUGGAGGCAAGGUAGGAACACUCCUGCUUUCCACCAGGUGUAGGGGAAAGAUCUGGCUCUGUAAUAUCCAAUCCAGCCCAUAGUGGUUAAGAGACCCAGGAAGCCCUCGAUUCAAAUCUUCUCAACCGUGAACACACUAAGGUGGCUUUAGGCAGGCUGUUAUCUGUCCGUUUCAAUCUCUUCCAUCUGUAAUAUCCUGAGGUAAUUUAAGUGAAGUACUAUGACCACAUGAAAACGAACUAUAGAAAUAAAUUGUUACUGUUUUGCAGAUACUUUAAUGUGUAUUGGCCCUAAGAAAUGUUGCCUGUCUCCUCUUCACCCCCUCCCUUUACUCCCAAAUUUUAGGGUGCUUGGCAUCUGAACAAAAUAAACUAGACAAUAAAACUGAGGCACUACACUAAUGAUGUUACGAAGCAGGAUACUAAAAAAUGCUAUCUCUUAGAUACUCUGCUGUUAACUCUGGAAAAGUUAAUUACAAUUUAGUAAAUAAGUUGUUCUUGAAACUGCAAAAUAUCCAACUUGAGCUGACCAUGGAAGUUGUUAAAACAGAUUCAUAAUGUGACAGGUGGAGCUAGACUAAUCUCAACAGUGCUAGCAGUUUAUUGUCCUGACAAUUGGGUGAAUACUUUCAUUUUGUUUCCUGCAUAUCUAGAUUUUCAAGGCAAUAGAUGUCUGAAGAUCGCAAAUCACCCAGCUGCUAAACUCUUUUGCCCUUAAUUCUUAUAGGUAUCUUAUAUCGGUCAAGAUUGCAAAGAAAUCCCAGCAUUCCUAGGAAGAAACUAUGGACGCAUUGCAAAAAGACUGGAUCUUAGCUUCAACUUGUUAAGGU